UAUUACAUUUGCUGGGUGUAGGGUUAUUUGGCUCACAACUGCAAGGCUGUGAGUUUGAUUCCUAGUGGCAUGUUGUAUCCUUGAGCAAGACACUUUAUUUCACAUUGCUCCAGUCCACUCAGCUGACAAAAAUGAGGUGUACCUGUAAUUCAAAGGGUCGGCCUUGUCACA